rnacentral:rRNA from 1 species
ACGCUCGACACCUACUGGAGGCAGCAGUGGGGAAUAUUGCACAAUGGGGGAAACCCUGAUGCAGCGACGCCGCGUGAGCGAAGAAGUAUUUCGGUAUGUAAAGCUCUAUCAGCAGGGAAGAAGAAAGACGGUACCUGACUAAGAAGCCCCGGCUAACUACGUGCCANAGCCGCGGUAAUCUGAGCGGGCUGGCAAGGC